UGGUAAAUGCUAGCGGCCCACUGUUGACCGAUCCCGUGCCACGCUGUGGUGGGAUUCGAGUGAGAGCGUGCCUGUUGCGACCCGAAAGAUGGUGAACUAUGCCUGAAUAGGGCGAAGCCAGAGGAAACUCUGGUGGAGGCU
rnacentral:rRNA from 1 species